UGGGAAAUCUCAGUCAGUAGAGGAUGAGACUCUUAACCUCAGGGUCAUGGGUUCAAGUCCCGUGUCGGGCAAAA